AUGUAACAGGUUUAAAAAUGACCUUAAAAAUAGCCUUAAUAAUUAUAGUGAAUUCAACCAAAAUUAUAAUAAUAUUCAGCAAAUAGUUUUGUAAUUAUCCUUUUUUUUAUAUAAUUGUUCAUUUCUGUUCACUAUUUUGAAGUUGUGCCUUGCAUUUGCAACAUCCUGUUAGUGUGCAGCUGUAGCUUGGUCCCUCCCUCUUCCCUCACUCUGGCACAGUCUAACAUGUGCUCUGCCAGAGGUAAGUCACACACAAAGCACAGGGGAACUAUUUCACAUUUAUAAAGUUAACUAUGGACAUAUACGUUUGUAAUUCUCUAUUUAAUUGUUGUUUAUCAGUAAAUUUAACUAGCCAGCACUGUUAAACUGACUCUGAAGCAUUUUAGAUGCAUUUUAAAACUGUUUUCUCUGACCAUGCUAAGCUAGCAGCUAGUAACUAGCCCAUAUUCCACAUGGUGAAAAUGUUAGCCUUCUCUGCUUAAAGUAUGUCCAUUUGUCCUUUAGAAUGUGAAAAUGUGCAGCUGCUGAAAUCAAACUGCUGUAUUGCUGCUUGCUAUGUGUGCAGAGGUCGAGAGAGAGAGAGAGAGAGAGAGUGCGAGACAAUAAAGAGUAAAGAGAGAGAAAGACAAGAGAGCGGUCUCCUGGUCCUCCUUCACGCACGCACAUGCAGCCGUUACACUGGUGCCGUGACGCCUUGGAUCUCAAGAUCAGCCUGAUGCAGAUCACCGUGUGGUUGCAGUAGGAGAGGUGGAGACCAAAGAUAUUCAUCUAAUCGGGUCAGAUUGUGUCUUUCAAGGGACUGUUUGUGACUGAUAUUUACAGCAUUGUACAUUUACUCUUAUUCAAAAAAAUAUUUCUAUUUU